UUUUGAGUUGUAGGGAUUCUGUUUGUAAUCGUUAUGUUUUGGAAAGCUGUUUUCAGGGAGAUCCCUGAAAAUAAGGCUUCUUAACCCUUCCCUGCCCCAAAUUAAAACACGGACACCUACUUUAGUUUUUCUUAAGCAAGUUUGAAAAUGGAGAUGAAAUACAUGCUUCAGAAAAUAACUGGCCAGCGAAUAUGAGGGAAAUGUUUGAAAAUAGAUCCAUUUCUUACAGCGAAGUGGGCAAGGUUGAUUCUUGCUGCUUAAGGAUUGGCAGCCACCAUUUGCAUGUGAUGUUGAUAAACUUCAUUUUACGCCACGUAUCCAGAGACUGAAUGAAUUGGAGGCCCAAACUCGUGUAAAAUUGAAUUUCUUGGACCAGAUUGCAAAGUACUGGGAGUUACAGGGAAGUACUCUGAAAAUUCCACAUGUGGAGAGGAAGAUCUUGGACUUAUUUCAGCUUAAUAAGUUAGUUGCAGAAGAAGGUGGAUUUGCAGUUGUUUGCAAGGAUAGAAAAUGGACCAAAAUUGCUACCAAGAUG
rnacentral:lncRNA from 1 species